AGCUUGCUCCCGGAUGUUAGCGGCGGACGGGUGAGUAACACGUGGGUAACCUGCCUGUAAGACUGGGAUAACUCCGGGAAACCGGAGCUAAUACCGGAUAGUUCCUUGAACCGCAUGGUUCAAGGAUGAAAGACGGUUUCGGCUGUCACUUACAGAUGGACCCGCGGCGCAUUAGCUAGUUGGUGGGGUAAUGGCUCACCAAGGCGACGAUGCGUAGCCGACCUGAGAGGGUGAUCGGCCACACUGGGACUGAGACACGGCCCAGACUCCUACGGGAGGCAGCAGUAGGGAAUCUUCCGCAAUGGACGAAAGUUCUGACGGAAGCAACGCCGCGUGAGUGAUGAAGGUUUUUCGGAUCGUAAAGCUCUGUUGUUAGGGAAGAACAAGUGCGAGAGUAACUGCUCGCACCUUGACGGUACCUAACCAGAAAGCCACGGCUAACUACGUGCCAGCAGCCGCGGUAAUACGUAGGUGGCAAGCGUUGUCCGGAAUUAUUGGGCGUAAAGGGCUCGCAGGCGGUUUCUUAAGUCUGAUGUGAAAGCCCCCGGCUCAACCGGGGAGGGUCAUUGGAAACUGGGAAACUUGAGUGCAGAAGAGGAGAGUGGAAUUCCACGUGUAGCGGUGAAAUGCGUAGAGAUGUGGAGGAACACCAGUGGCGAAGGCGACUCUCUGGUCUGUAACUGACGCUGAGGAGCGAAAGCGUGGGGAGCGAACAGGAUUAGAUACCCUGGUAGUCCACGCCGUAAACGAUGAGUGCUAAGUGUUAGGGGGUUUCCGCCCCUUAGUGCUGCAGCUAACGCAUUAAGCACUCCGYCUGGGGGAGUACGGUCGCAAGACUGAAAACUCAAAAGGAAUUGACGGGGGCCCGCACAAGCGGUGGAGCAUGUGGUUUAAUUCGAAGCAACGCGAAGAACCUUACCAGGUCUUGACAUCCUCUGACAACCCUAGAGAUAGGGCUUUCCCUUCGGGGACAGAGUGACAGGUGGUGCAUGGUUGUCGUCAGCUCGUGUCGUGAGAUGUUGGGUUAAGUCCCGCAACGAGCGCAACCCUUGAUCUUAGUUGCCAGCAUUCAGUUGGGCACUCUAAGGUGACUGCCGGUGACAAACCGGAGGAAGGUGGGGAUGACGUCAAAUCAUCAUGCCCCUUAUGACCUGGGCUACACACGUGCUACAAUGGACAGAACAAAGGGCUGCAAGACCGCAAGGUUUAGCCAAUCCCAUAAAUCUGUUCUCAGUUCGGAUCGCAGUCUGCAACUCGACUGCGUGAAGCUGGAAUCGCUAGUAAUCGCGAUCAGC
rnacentral:rRNA from 2 species